rnacentral:tRNA from 1 species
GCGCCGCCGUGAGCGGCGGCAUCGCCCUGGGCCCGCUGCUGGCGGGCCUGAUCGGCCUGCUGGACUGGCGCCUGGCGUACGGCGCGCUGGGCGCCGCG